UACGUAGGUGGCAAGCGUUGUCCGGAAUUAUUGGGUGUAAAGAGCAUGUAGGCGGGCUUUUAAGUCCGACGUGAAAAUGCGGGGCUUAACCCCGUAUGGCGUUGGAUACUGGAAGUCUUGAGUGCAGGAGAGGAAAGGGGAAUUCCCAGUGUAGCGGUGAAAUGCGUAGAUAUUGGGAGGAACACCAGUGGCGAAGGCGCCUUUCUGGACUGUGUCUGACGCUGAGAUGCGAAAGCCAGGGUAGCAAACGGG
rnacentral:rRNA from 1 species